GAAAGGCGAAACGUAAUGUGAAUUGCAGAAUUCAGUGAAUCAUCGAAUCUUUGAACGCACAUUGCGCCCCUUGGUAUUCCAUGGGGCAUGCCUGUUCGAGCGUCAUUUGUACCCUCAAGCUCUGCUUGGUGUUGGGUGUUUGUCCCCGUCUCCGCGCGUGGACUCGCCCCAAAGUGAUUGGCAGCCGGCGUACUGGUCCCGGAGCGCAGCACAUGUCGCGCAAACGAGUGCCUUGGUACGGCGGCGUCCAUAAGCCCCUCUCUCACGCUCUUGACCUCGGAUCAGGUAGGGAUACCCGCUGAACUUAAGC
rnacentral:misc_RNA from 1 species